rnacentral:rRNA from 1 species
AUGCUUUACGGCUUAGAACCGGGACUUCAACGAUGUUUUGAACGUCAUGGAGCAUAUGAUAUGUUCCAGGAGUUGAAGUUAAUAUUUCAAGCAAAUGCUCGGAUUGAGAGAUAUGAAGUCUCCAAUAAGUUCUACAGCUACAAGAUGGAGGAGAAUGGUUCUGUCAGUGAACAUAUACUCAAAAUGUCUGGGUAUUGCAAUCACUUGAUUCAACUGGGAAUUAAUCUUCCGGAUGAUAGUGUCAUUGACAGAAUUCUUCAAUCACUGCCACCAAGCUACAAGAGCUUCGUGAUGAACUAUAAUAUGCAAGGGAUGAAUAAGACAAUUCCCGAGCUCUUUGCAAUGCUAAAAGCUGCAGAGGUAGAAAUCAAGAAGGAGCAUCAAGUGUUGAUGGUCAAUAAGACCACCAGUUUCAAGAAAAAGGGUAAAGGGAAGAAGAAGGGGAACUUCAAGAAGAACGGCAAACAAGUUGCUGCUCAAGAGAAGAAACCCAAGUCUGGACCGAGGGAAUCCUGGAUUAGGGGGUAUCCGGACAGCCGGACUAUAUACUUUGUCCGGACUGUUGGAUUAUGA